UUAGAGAUGGCUCAGAUGGUAAAGAAUCUGCCUGCAAUGCAGGAUUACCCAGGUUCUAUCCCUGGCUUUGAAA
rnacentral:tRNA from 1 species